rnacentral:rRNA from 1 species
UACGUAGGGGGCAAGCGUUGUCCGGAUUUAUUGGGCGUAAAGAGCUCGUAGGCGGUUCCGUAAGUCAGGUGUGAAAAAUCUGGGCUCAACCCAGUGGAGCACCUGAUACUGCGGUGACUCGAGUCCGGUAGGGGAGUGUGGAAUUCCUGGUGUAGCGGUGAAAUGCGUAGAGAUCGGGAGGAACAUCUGUGGCGAAGGCGGCCAUCUGGACCAGCACUGACACUGAGGCACGAAAGCGUGGGGAGCAAACAGG